rnacentral:rRNA from 1 species
UACGGGAGGCAGCAGUGGGGAAUAUUGCACAAUGGGCGAAAGCCUGAUGCAGCUAUGCCGCGUGUAUGAAGAAGGCCUUAGGGUUGUAAAGUACUUUCAUCGGGGAGGAAAAACAAAACUAAUAAUUUUAUUUCUUGACGUUACCCGAAAAAGAAGCACCGGCUAACUCCGUGCCAGCAGCCGCGGUAAUACGGAGGGUGCUAGCGUUAAUCAGAAUUACUGGGCGUAAAGAGCACGUAGGUGGUUUUUUAAGUCAGAUGUGAAAUCCCUGGGCUUAACCUAGGAACUGCAUUUUGAAACUGAAAUACUAGAGUAUCGUAGAGGGAGGUAGAAUUCUAGGUGUAGCGGUGAAAUGCGUAGAUAUCUGGAGGAAUACCUGUGGCGAAAGCGGCCUCCUAAACGAAUACUGACACUGAGUGCGAAAGCGUGGGGAGCAAACAGGGAUUAGAUACC